rnacentral:lncRNA from 1 species
CUGAGCUACACCCCCAGAUUAUUUUAUGUAUUCUUGAUGGUCUUAUAUUUGGGAGUUCUUAUAGACUUGGAGAAAGACUGCAUCUCCCAAGUUAGCUCUUUCUUGAAGAUUUAAAGAGAUUGGCUGGGAUUAUGUCUUUCAUAUACAAAUAAACUGAUUUCAUGCCUAUAGUCACUAUCACCCCUUUAUCUAACUUUCAUACAUCAAGACAAUAUUUACCCUUCCCUAAAUCAUCCCAGGUCCAGGUUCCAGGAAACUAGAGACCACUGUGAUAGCCCACAGCUCAUUGGUAUUAUUCAAGCUAGUCAGUCCCAAUCCAUGUUGUCUGCUCUGCCUUCGUUUUCUAUGGAAACUCCAAUAAACACUGUGGACUAGACUGUUUUCUUCAUCCUGACCAACACUGGUGAUUCCUAUGACUCUGUAUGACAUGUAAUGACUUCCUCUCUAGAACCUGU